rnacentral:rRNA from 1 species
UGAUUAUGACGUACUUGUACUGAUUGAGAUUUUAACACGAAGUGAGUGGCGAACGGGUGAGUAACACGUGGGUAACCUGCCCAGAAGUAGGGGAUAACACCUGGAAACAGAUGCUAAUACCGUAUAACAGAGAAAACCGCAUGGUUUUCUUUUAAAAGAUGGCUCUGCUAUCACUUCUGGAUGGACCCGCGGCGUAUUAGCUAGUUGGUGAGGUAAAGGCUCACCAAGGCAGUGAUACGUAGCCGACCUGAGAGGGUAAUCGGCCACAUUGGGACUGAGACACGGCCCAGACUCCUACGGGAGGCAGCAGUAGGGAAUCUUCCACAAUGGACGCAAGUCUGAUGGAGCAACGCCGCGUGAGUGAAGAAGGGUUUCGGCUCGUAAAGCUCUGUUGUUAAAGAAGAACGUGGGUAAGAGUAACUGUUUACCCAGUGACGGUAUUUAACCAGAAAGCCACGGCUAACUACGUGCCAGCAGCCGCGGUAAUACGUAGGUGGCAAGCGUUAUCCGGAUUUAUUGGGCGUAAAGCGAGCGCAGGCGGUCUUUUAAGUCUAAUGUGAAAGCCUUCGGCUCAACCGAAGAAGUGCAUUGGAAACUGGGAGACUUGAGUGCAGAAGAGGACAGUGGAACUCCAUGUGUAGCGGUGAAAUGCGUAGAUAUAUGGAAGAACACCAGUGGCGAAGGCGGCUGUCUGGUCUGCAACUGACGCUGAGGCUCGAAAGCAUGGGUAGCGAACAGGAUUAGAUACCCUGGUAGUCCAUGCCGUAAACGAUGAUUACUAAGUGUUGGAGGGUUUCCGCCCUUCAGUGCUGCAGCUAACGCAUUAAGUAAUCCGCCUGGGGAGUACGACCGCAAGGUUGAAACUCAAAAGAAUUGACGGGGGCCCGCACAAGCGGUGGAGCAUGUGGUUUAAUUCGAAGCUACGCGAAGAACCUUACCAGGUCUUGACAUCUUCUGACAGUCUAAGAGAUUAGAGGUUCCCUUCGGGGACAGAAUGACAGGUGGUGCAUGGUUGUCGUCAGCUCGUGUCGUGARAUGUUGGGUUAAGUCCCGCAACGAGCGCAACCCUUAUUACUAGUUGCCAGCAUUANNUGGGCACYCUAGUGAGACUGCCGGUGAAACCGGAGGAAGGGGGGACGACGUAAUCUCCCC